UUGAGGAAGUUUGCAUACAAUGCAGAGACCAAUUGUCGUCAAGUCCAGGAAAGGAAUGAUCCACUCUUUGAAGUCCAUUGUAGUCUUGAUCUUUAAUUACUAUUUUGCACGAACUUUAACAAAUCUUAAUAAACUUGAGCUAUCUCUCUUACACAGUGUGUUUGAGAAUAAUCUCAGCAAAAGCAGCUGGGUGAAUGUAAACCUGAGUCAACGUGUAUUACGUAAGUACGUCAAAUAUGUACAUAUACAGAGCAUGGAGUUUAUGCAUGUUGUAUAAUACACUUAGAAUAUUUAGAAGCGACUUAAUUUAUUAACUGUUUGCAUUAUGUCCAAGGGCGAGAAAUCAUUAAACUUAAACUGGAGUAUAUGCAAUUAUUGCAAUGUAUGUACAUACAUGUGCUUUGAGCAUGCAUACAUAUGUACAUGGACGAAACACACAGAAAUUGAGGUGACAUUAAGAUGACACACUCAAAGGUGGAGUAUUUAAUAAAUUAAAAUUAAAUUUAAAUCAAAUGAAUGAUAUUUAUGUACGAUACACGUGAUAUGAUGUAUUUAGAUUAUCUCAAAGUCAAAAUUACUAAAUUCCAUUUGACGGAGCAUGUAAAUAGAUAUGUCUGCACAGAUCCGUCUGCUAACACAUAAUAUGCACGCUUACAAAUGUAUGUAUAUCACUUUAUGAGAAUAAAAAGACAAGACGCUGCAUAAUGAAUUACUAAUAAAUGUCGAGAAAAAAUUAUUCUUCACAUUGUACUUUAAUUAUAUUUUCAAGUAACAAAAUUGAUAACAACAUUAAAUAAUUUGCAUAAACCACUCCAGCCAGACUUGCAUAUCCCAUCGUGAAGCAAACUUUUCCAAAAAAUGGGUAAUCCUCUAAAAGUAUUGUAUUAAAUAUGUUGUAGUGGAAAAGAAGAAUACUGCAUUAAUUAAUACAUACACAAUUCAUUCGUUACCAUUAAUCGAGGUCUGAAGAACAACAACAA